rnacentral:rRNA from 1 species
AAGACCUUGCGCUUUUGGAGCGGCCGAUGCCUGAUUAGCUUGUUGGUAAGGUAAAAGCUUACCAAGGCUUCGAUCAGUAGCUGGUCUGAGAGGACGGCCAGCCACACUGGGACUGAGACACGGCCCAGACUCCUACGGGAGGCAGCAGUGGGGAAUUUUGGACAAUGGGGGCAACCCUGAUCCAGCCAUGCCGCGUGAGUGAAGAAGGCCUUCGGGUUGUAAAGCUCUUUCAGCCGGAACGAAGCGGUUACGGUUAAUACCCGUGACUAAUGACGGUACCGGAAGAAGAAGCACCGGCUAACUACGUGCCAGCAGCCGCGGUAAUACGUAGGGUGCGAGCGUUAAUCGGAAUUACUGGGCGUAAAGCGUGCGCAGGUGGUUUUGUAAGUCAGAUGUGAAAGCCCCGGGCUCAACCUGGGAACU